GUCCCUUCAGCAGGACUCACACUAAAACUGGAACAAUGCAGAGCAGAUUAGCACGGCCCUGGUGCAAGGAUGAUAUGAAAAUUCACUAAGUGCCCCAUAGUUAA